GAUCCUGGCUUAGGAUGAACGCUGGCGGCGUGCCUAACACAUGCAAGUCGAGCGAUUACUUCGGUAAAGAGCGGCGGACGGGUGAGUAACGCGUGGGUAACCUGCCUCAUACACAUGGAUAACAUACCGAAAGGUAUGCUAAUAUAGGAUAAUAUAAGAGAUUCACAUGGAUUUCUUAUCAAAGCUCCGGCGGUAUGAGAUGGACCCGCGUCUGAUUAGCUAGUUGGUAAGGUAAUGGCUUACCAAGGCGACGAUCAGUAGCCGACCUGAGAGGGUGAUCGGCCACAUUGGAACUGAGACACGGUCCAAACUCCUACGGGAGGCAGCAGUGGGGAAUAUUGCACAAUGGGCGAAAGCCUGAUGCAGCAACGCCGCGUGAGUGAUGAAGGCCUUCGGGUCGUAAAACUCUGUCCUCAAGGAAGAUAAUGACGGUACUUGAGGAGGAAGCCCCGGCUAACUACGUGCCAGCCGCCGC
rnacentral:rRNA from 1 species